AGCAGCCGCGGUAAUUCCAGCUCCAAUAGCGUAUAUUAAAGUUGUUGCAGUUAAAAAGCUCGUAGUUGAAUUUCGGGACCAAUUUGUUGGUCGUGCCUCGGUACGUACUGAUAUUAUUGGUUUCUCCCUUCUGAAGAACCAUGAUGCCAUUAAUUUGGUGUCGUGGGGAAUCAGGACUGUUACUUUGAAAAAAUUAGAGUGUUUAAAGCAGGCUUUCGCUUGAAUACAUUAGCAUGGAAUAAUGAAAUAGGACGUUUGAUUCUAUUUUGUUGGUUUCUAGGAUCGACGUAAUGAUUAAUAGGGAUAGUUGGGGGCAUUAGUAUUCAAUUGUCAGAGGUGAAAUUCUUGGAUUUAUUGAAGACUAACUACUGCGAAAGCAUUUGCCAAGGAUGUUUUCAUUAAUCAAGAACGAAAGUUAGGGGAUCGAAGACGAUCAGAUACCGUCGUAGUCUUAACCAUAAACUAUGCCGACUAGGGAUCGGAUGAUGUUAAUUUUUAAUGACUCAUU
rnacentral:rRNA from 1 species